rnacentral:lncRNA from 1 species
GCCCCGCGCCCCCUUACCCGUGGCGACCGCUACGCUGGCCACGCUCCAGCGAAAUGAGGUAGGCGGCAAGUUUGGCGUCGCUCCAGCCGCUGCGGCGUCUCAGGUCCACCCAGGGGCCGUGCGCCUCGCCCAGGACUGCGACCCCACAUUCCUGCUGCCGUGGGUAGUGGACGAAGAUGCGCUGGAUAACGUUGCGGGGCCGGAAGACCUCCUUGGGGAAAACAUCCAGCAGCAGCUGGGCCAGUGCAUGGUACAUGGUAACUGCCCAACACCGACCAACGGAGUGGAACUAAGCAAGUUUCUACAAAACAGAGAGAAAUCUGAACAGCCAGGUCGCGUGUGUGUAUGCGUGUGGGCUGGCACGAUUCCGAGUCUCUAAGAGGUCUCAUUGGAAGGUUCCAAUGCCUGCGUCACAGACAAGAUGUGUGGCCCAAGUCCGCGGUCCCAUCUGUGAAACGGAACGCCUGCAGCAAGAGGUGCCCAGCAACCUUUCCAGGCACGUUCCCAAGCCUGCACCCCAAAAGGUCACAGUGUCCGGACUCUGAGGCCGAGUUGAAGGUCAUCCUCCCCGGCUCUAUCAGGCCUGGAAGUGGACGCCCCGAAUCCCAGACAGUCCCAUAGACCUCCCACGCGCGACCCACCUACUCACGUGGCCAGCCGCAGACCCGAGCUGGCUCUGUGGGACCGCUGGACGCUGUCAUGUUGAGCCACGGAACUUCCGGUUACGAGUCGAAGGUGACAGCAAAUCAGAAGAGCCUGUGACGAUAGGUCCCGCCCUCAGGAAGAGAUCCACCAAUAGGAAGGGGGAGACGCUGGUUUCUCCUCAGGAGCAGGCCCUGCCCCUCACCGAGCUCCAGAAGCCUGGAGACUUUGGGUACCAGUACAGAGGCGCUGGAGCGGAUGCCCCGGCGUCCGUCUGGUCCAACUUUCUCCGCGGUGUGGUAAAUUAUUAUUAUUGUUGUUAUGGACUGGAAGCACCACAUCCGGUUCGGAGCCCAGGGCGGCUUGCGUGCUAAGCAAUCACUCUACCGCUGUCAACUAAGCCGCAGCCCCGAGUCCCGGGAUGCAUUUUUUUUUUUUACUAAAGAGGUUUUUUUAGUUUGGUUGGUUGAGUUGUUUGAGUCAGGGUCUUGCAGUGGUGCUCAGCCUGUUCUCAAAACCCUGGAUUCAAGAGAUCCUCGGGGUUCAGCCUCCCGAAUAGCUGGAACCUCAGCUGGGCAACACUGCCAACAGCUUUAACAGAAUGUCAAGCUGUGUUUAUUUUUAUUGUGUGUUAUGUGUGUAAGUCUAUGUGAGCAUGUUCGUGUGGAAGUCAGAGGGCAGCUUAGGGGGAAUGUUCUUUCCAUGUGGGUACUGGGAAUGAAACCUGGGUCAUCAGGCUUGGCUGCGAGCACUUUUAACGCCCUUUAAUAAAAAUGUUUGAAG